rnacentral:rRNA from 1 species
AGUGAACGCUGGCGGCGUGCUUAACACAUGCAAGUCGAACGAGAACGGAAUAUAGCUUGCUAUAUUUGUCAGCUAAGUGGCGCACGGGUGAGUAAUGUAUAGAAAACCUGCCCUUAAGAAAGGAAUAACAGUUGGAAACGACUGCUAAUGCCCUAUAUGCCUUUAAUACAUAAGUAUGCAAGGGAAACGCUUUAGUGCUUAAGGAUGGGUCUGUAUGGUAUCAGCUUGUUGGUGAGGUAAUGGCUCGCCAAGGCUAUGACGCCUAACUGGUUUGAGAGGAUGAUCAGACACACUGGAACUGAGACACGGUCCAGACUCCUACGGGAGGCAGCAGUGGGGAAUAUUGCACAAUGGACGAAAGUCUGAUGCAGCAACGCCGCGUGGAGGAUGACACAUUUCGGUGCGUAAACUCCUUUUAUAUAGGAAGAUAAUGACGGUACUAUAUGAAUAAGCACCGGCUAACUCCGUGCCAGCAGCCGCCGUAA